UCUUAACCCGAGGUACCACUGUACUUUAUGCUGAAAUCCCUGUCUUUAUCCUACUUUUAAGUAAAUUUUAACCCUGUUUAUCCAAAAGUUCCCGGUCACAGUUAGCAUUGAGGGAGCUAUUUUAGGCCCAACCUGAGCAAUGCUGGAUAAGAGGCUGCUGGUUGUUAAAAAAAGCAAAUGGCAAAGGAAACAUCCCAUAAGUGUGGAACUACCACUAAGAAGGCCUUCCCAGGAGUGCCCAUGCAUUGAACUUCAGCAGAAGAUGAAACUGCAAAUAGGGCCUGUUUUGCAAAUCUCAGUUCCCGGAUUGGUAUGGAAGGAGGCAUUCUUUCAUAUAUCUGAAGGAUAUGAAAGAGAUCUUGCUACUCAUCACUGCUCAAGAGUGAAAUUUAGGG